UAGAAUUGUUGUAGGUGUAUGGUUUUGUGCCUUAGGAUCUAAUUUUGAUCCAUGUCGAUAAUUAGUCCUCUCUAUCAAUGACAUGAAUUAAAAGAUGAUGCAUAAACUAAUGAAAUUCAUGUUAAAAAAAGAAUAAUAAAAUAGAAAUAUGGAAGUAUAUAUAUUAAAAAGAAAUUAGAAUGGCUUAUUGCUAAAAGACAACGAAACUUGAGACUCUUGAAACUAGACUAGAAGUAAGAAAAAAGUUCACAAGAGUGGAGAGGGCUUCACUCUUGUCUCUAUAUAUACUAUCUAACUAAAGGCUAUGUGGCAAUGUUUUAUAGGACCUCUAAUAUGUGUUGACUGUCACGGACACAAAAUACAGACUUGAAAUGUAACAAGAAGUUCAAGAAGAAGUGGCAGAACUAGAUUAAACAGAUGUAUACAAGAACAACACCAGAAAGGUGAGCUAGAACUCCAAGAGAUG
rnacentral:lncRNA from 1 species